UUUUUUUUGAGAGUUUGAUCCUGGCUCAGGAUGAACGCUGGCGGCGUGCCUAACACAUGCAAGUUGAGCGAUUUACUUCGGUAAAGAGCGGCGGACGGGUGAGUAACGCGUGGGUAACCUACCCUGUACACACGGAUAACAUACCGAAAGGUAUGCUAAUACGGGAUAAUAUAUUUGAGAGGCAUCUCUUAAAUAUCAAAGGUGAGCCAGUACAGGAUGGACCCGCGUCUGAUUAGUUAGUUGGUAAGGUAACGGCUUACCAAGGCGACGAUCAGUAGCCGACCUGAGAGGGUGAUCGGCCACAUUGGAACUGAGACACGGUCCAAACUCCUACGGGAGGCAGCAGUGGGGAAUAUUGCACAAUGGGCGAAAGCCUGAUGCAGCAACGCCGCGUGAGUGAUGAAGGCCUUCGGGUCGUAAAGCUCUGUCCUCAAGGAAGAUAAUGACGGUACUUGAGGAGGAAGCCCCGGCUAACUACGUGCCAGCAGCCGCGGUAAUACGUAGGGGGCUAGCGUUAUCCGGAUUUACUGGGCGUAAAGGGUGCGUAGG
rnacentral:rRNA from 1 species